rnacentral:tRNA from 1 species
GGAGAGGUGACAGAGCGGUUAAUGUAGCUGUUUGCUAAACAGUCUUGCGGUAAAACGUGCGGGGGUUCGAUUCCCUCUCUCUCCG